rfam:Citrus sinensis cultivar Ridge Pineapple sweet orange scaffold00953_contig_9, whole genome shotgun sequence.
AUACUAUGAUGAGGACAUCUCCUAAGUAACUCCUUAAAUCUUUCUCAUAAAUCAUACAAGCUCUUAUCUUCAAGUAGAUGGAAAAAUAUGACCUCAUUCCUUAAUUU